CGUACCAAGAGACUUUUUUUGUAGGUAUUGGUGUGUUACAUGUGUUUACCGAUUUUUGUACAUGUACAUGAAACGUAGCUCGAGGCGCACUCCGUUGAAAAUGUAUAGGUGGCGCUAUCGAGGCAUUUUGCCACACCCAAUGGAAUAUUGGCCUUCAGAUGUGUUCAGGCCAGGACACUUAUCAAACAUGUGAAGUUUGGGCAAGAUCGGACAUUUUAUGCCUGAGUUACAAUAACUUUUAUUCCCAUGGCGAGACAUCGAACUUUGUGACGGCGCCAUGGACACGCCCUUUAACGAAAACUCAAGAUCUUCACAAUUUAACAUCGCACAGGCCUUUAGAAUAGAGUGACUGAAAAAAAAAGUAUUAUGUCAUAAAAUUUCUCGGGGUAGUUUGUUACAGCGUAAAAUAUGUCAUUUCCUGUUGCCAGUAGGUGGCGCUAUGACUUUAACUGAAUAUUGGCAUAUCAAUCUGUUCAGAUCAGGAGUCUUAUCAAACAUGUGAAGUUUGUGGCAGAUUGGACAUUGUAUGUCUGAGUUAUAGCAACUUCAUUUUUCAUGGCGAAUCAUCGAAAUUCGUCAGGCCGCCACGGACACGCC
ensembl:lncRNA